UCUAAAAACAAUUCUGAAGGAGAAUAUUUGCCUUUGCAGUGGGUUUCAGUGGAGCCUAACAUUGGACCAGUGAGAGAAUAGGGAGACAGGCUAUCAGAAAAGGAAAAUGAAUGUCUGCACAGGAAAAUGUAGGCAGUAUGAUCAAGAGUCUUUCUUCAUCUCAUUGUCUGGAAUGCAGCUGCCACCCUCUGAGCCAUGUGAGGAGGAGAAGCCCCAUCUUAGUCACGGUGGACAGGUAGAAAGCAGUCUUUUCAACUGAUACCCAGUAUUGUUUUGAGAAUUUAAUGUAUAUGAAAUUAUAAGGGUGCGUAUGCUUAAAAAUAGAUCUCAGUGUGUUCCUUGAUGUCUGUAUCUUGGAACUGAAAGAGUUUAUAUUCCAAAUUGACUUUCCAGCAUUUUUACUAUCACAGCAGCCUUGGGGCCGAGUUGGAAGAAAUAAGAGAAG